AACGAACGCUGGCGGCGUGCCUAACACAUGCAAGUCGAACGAGAAAGGGACUUCGGUCCUGAGUAAAGUGGCGCACGGGUGAGUAACACGUAGGUAACCUGCCUCUAAGAUUGGGAUAACCUGUCGAAAGACGAGCUAAUACCGAAUAAGACCACGGCUCCCUCGGGAGCAGUGGUCAAAGAUAGCCUCUACUUGUAAGCUAUCACUUAGAGAUGGGCCUGCGUACCAUUAGCUAGUUGGCGGGGUAACGGCCUACCAAGGCAAAGAUGGUUAGCUGGUCUGAGAGGAUGAUCAGCCACACUGGAACUGAGACACGGUCCAGACUCCUACGGGAGGCAGCAGUGGGGAAUAUUGCGCAAUGGGCGAAAGCCUGACGCAGCAACGCCGCGUGAGUGAUGAAGGCCUUCGGGUCGUAAAGCUCUGUCGGAGGGAACGAAUGCUCUUGAGGUUAACAGCCUCGGGAAGUGACGGUACCCUCAAAGGAAGCACCGGCUAACUCUGUGCCAGCCGCCGCUGUAAGAC
rnacentral:rRNA from 1 species